rfam:Stegodyphus mimosarum contig112941, whole genome shotgun sequence.
AAAACAGCUCUUUUCAGAGCCACACACUUCUUUCAAUGAGUUGUGU